rnacentral:lncRNA from 1 species
CUAGGUUUUAGAGCACUGUCAUGCACAUCUUUGAUGCAUACAGUAUUGUGUCCUGUUCCUGUUACAUUACCAUCUGGUACACGUGUAGUUCUCUGAAAUAUCCCCAUCAGUCGCACUCAUCUGUCCAUUUUUCUCCUCUCCGGGGGGUUUCUAGGACUUGAAAGAGGAAUGUGUGAAGCUGCGGACCCGUGUGUUUGACUUGGAGCAGCAAAACCGCAUAUUGAGUGUUCUGUUUCAACAACGUGUCAAAAUGUCCACGAAUCCUGUCUCCCAGGAUGUCCAAAGAAACGGAAAAGCAGGUAUUCCUGCAGGAAGGUGGCCCAGCCUGCUGAGUCUAACAUGCCCACGCAGCAGUGGAAGCGGCAGUGGCAGUGAACUGUCACUGUCCAGUGCGUGUAGUGAGUACUCCAGUGGAUCCCACACUUGGGCAGAGGGACGUGGAUUCUCCAAACAGGUGGGUGUCAUUCAUCCUCCAUUAAUUUCCCUUCUAUUUGAAGUACAAGCCAGUUGUGAAAGUAAAUUCCUUGUUAUGGUCUUCAUGGCAUUUUGGAAUAAAGUAAAUAAUCUAUUUGUAAAUGCCAUUUCAAUCAUUUUAAAUAUGUCUUGUAAUGCACAGUGUGCCGCCAGCCGAGACAAAAGGAUGAGUACGGGUUCAGUAUCAAGCAAUCACUCUGCAUCCAUCGAGCAGACAGACCUGGGAUGGAAGGAAGGCCACAUUCUAAAAGGCCUGAAGCGUCUCCAAAUGUGCAGCUCCAAAGAGGCAUCCUCACUUGCAUCUGUGCCACACUGCAAAGAUUGCAUGACCUCCAAUGAGGGCAUAUACUCGUUUGGUUUCAAGUGUGGCCAACAAGGGAGUACAGCCAAGCAAGUAACCCCUACAAGUAAACCUUUCAAGGCCGGAGCGGGGACUGCUGCCCUAUACUCUGAUGAUGCAGAUGAUGAUUCAACUAAAUUACAAAGUAGGGAGUCCAAUGACCAACCAACGAAAGAGUUUGUUUGCUUGGAGAAACAUGAUGUCACAAAGGAUAUUGAAAACAAUUUUCAAGAAGACCCUGUAAAACUUGAAGGGAAUUCUAGUCUUUUUCCCUCACCUGUCAUAGACAACUUCUUAUUUUUGCAGGACCCCACAGUAAAACCUGGUGUAAGCCCACCAAAUAGCAAUAUGCAUCUAGAAGAAAAACACAAAGGCUCUCUAGAAAAACAGAAGCCUUCAGGCAUGAAGUUAAAUGACAGAAACAAUAACCAAGAAAGGUCUACUGACCGUAAAUCCAGACUUGACCAUGUCAAAAGACAGCAGGG